rnacentral:lncRNA from 1 species
UGUUUAUCAUUUUUGGGGUUAGGGAUGACGAUAGAGUCUGUUUGAUUCAUGUUAUUCCGUUAGAAUUAUAAAGUACUUGACAAUAAUCUUUUUCAGAUAACUGUAUUUGGUUCAUACUGCGAGUAAUUCGAUCAGUAAUACAACAUUAUUAAUAGAAUAAGACAUUUCCAAAAUAUUAUCAACGAGGAGGGUGAGUAUCUUAUAUUACUGAAAGAAAGUUAUAUGCAAAA